CAGCGGCGAUCUCUUAAAGUCCAACAACUUUGUAGAGGGUGUUUCUCACAAGAUCAGGUGUCAGAUCAAGGAGCUAGAGAGGGUUUCAGGAGUCAAGAACAGUUCUCUCACGGUGGAUGGAGUUCCAGUGGAUUCAUACCUCACUAGGUUUGUCUGGGAUGAAUCCUAGUUCCCCACAAUGUCUCCUUUGAAGGAGGUUAUCGACAGAAUUCAUGGUCAAGUUGCAAAGAUUGAGGAUGAUCUCAAGGUAAUGCUUUUUACCAAUUUUCAUUUACAUUCGGGUUUGGGUCAUUUUGGUCAUCCUCUUUGUUGUGACUUGUGAGGAGCUUUGUUGUUGUUGUUCUGAAAAGAGCAAA